rnacentral:rRNA from 1 species
GACGAGGGGCCCGAGCGUUAUUCGGAAUCACUGGGCUUAAAGGGUGCGUAGGCGGAUGCGUAAGCGUCUCGUGAAAUCCUCGGCUCAACCGGGGAAUGGCGGGGCGAACUGCGUGUCUUGAGAAAGGUAGGGGCCGUCGGAACGCUCGGUGGAGCGGUGAAAUGCAUAGAUAUCGAGCGGAACGCCGAAGGAGAAGUCGGGCGGCUGGGCCUGUUCUGAAGCUGAGGCACGAAAGCGUGGGGAUCGAACAGG